rnacentral:rRNA from 1 species
CCUACGGGAGGCAGCAGUGAGGAAUAUUGGACAAUGGGCGGGAGCCUGAUCCAGCCAUGCCGCGUGCAGGAAGACUGCCCUAUGGGUUGUAAACUGCUUUUAUACGGGAAGAAACCCACCUACGUGUAGGUGGCUGACGGUACCGUAAGAAUAAGGACCGGCUAACUCCGUGCCAGCAGCCGCGGUAAUACGGAGGGUCCGAGCGUUAUCCGGAAUCAUUGGGUUUAAAGGGUCCGCAGGCGGCCAGAUAAGUCAGUGGUGAAAUUCCGUGGCUCAACCACGGAACUGCCAUUGAUACUGUUUGGCUUGAAUCAGUUCGAGGAUGCCGGAAUGUGUGGUGUAGCGGUGAAAUGCAUAGAUAUCACACAGAACACCAAUUGCGAAGGCAGGUGUCCAGAACUGUAUUGACGCUGAUGGACGAAAGCGUGGGUAGCGAACAGGAUUAGAUACCCUGGUAGUCCACGCCGUAAACGAUGGUCACUAGCUGUCCGGACUUAGGUCUGGGUGGCCAAGCGAAAGUGAUAAGUGACCCACCUGGGGAGUACGUUCGCAAGAAUGAAACUAAAAGGAAUUGACGG